rnacentral:lncRNA from 1 species
GAGAAUUUAACAUUGCAAAAAAUCUGAACUUUUUUUUCAAGUGGUCACUGAACCAUGAAAAUGAGGUCAAGGACAAUGGACAUGUGACUGACGGAAACUUCGUAACAUGAGGCAUCUAUAUACAAAAUAUGAAGCAUCCAGGUCUUCCACCUUCUAAAAUAUAUAGCUUUUAAGAAGUGAGCUAACACCGCCGCCGCCGCCGCCGGAUCACUAUCCCUAUGUCGAGCUUUCUGCAACAAAAGUUGCAGGCUCGACAAAAAUGGCCAUAUU